GGGUUGUGAGGUUAAGCGACUAAGCGUACACGGUGGAUGCCCUGGCAGUCAGAGGCGAUGAAGGACGUGCUAAUCUGCGAUAAGCGCCGGUAAGGUGAUAUGAACCGUUAUAACCGGCGAUUUCCGAAUGGGGAAACCCAGUGUGACUCGUCACACUAUCAUUAACUGAAUCCAUAGGUUAAUGAGGCGAACCGGGGGAACUGAAACAUCUAAGUACCCCGAGGAAAAGAAAUCAACCGAGAUUCCCCCAGUAGCGGCGAGCGAACGGGGAGGAGCCCAGAGCCUGAAUCAGCAUGUGUGUUAGUGGAAGCGUCUGGAAAGGCGCGCGAUACAGGGUGACAGCCCCGUACACAAAAGCGCAUGUGCUGUGAGCUCGAUGAGUAGGGCGGGACACGUGGUAUCCUGUCUGAAUAUGGGGGGACCAUCCUCCAAGGCUAAAUACUCCUGACUGACCGAUAGUGAACCAGUACCGUGAGGGAAAGGCGAAAAGAACCCCGGCGAGGGGAGUGAAAAAGAACCUGAAACCGUGUACGUACAAGCAGUGGGAGCACCCUUUGGGGUGUGACUGCGUACCUUUUGUAUAAUGGGUCAGCGACUUAUAUUCUGUAGCAAGGUUAACCGAAUAGGGGAGCCGGAGGGAAACCGAGUCUUAACCGGGCGUUAA
rnacentral:rRNA from 1 species